CACCAAUCCAGACAAAAUAGAUGCAACUGGAAAUUUAAGAGCAGCAAAUAAAGCAUACAUCAGGCAGGUCCAUUCAUUUUAGCUAUACAUCAAAUCCCAUGACGUUCCACUCUGGACCAACAUUCUACACCUAAUAAGUAUUUCCAUCCCUGCUAGGAGUGUAGUUCUCGCUCUGAUAGUUUGGCAUAUUCCCAGCAUCUCUUUGAGGCGCGGUAUUGGACCAUCCUUGAGUCUGUGAAAAGCCUCCCACAUUCUGAGCAGCCCCCAUGUCCCGCGGUGGCAUUCCACCCAUUUGGGGGGGCAUUCCUCCCAUGUUGUUCUGGGGUCGCAUUCCCCCCAUGUUCUGGUGAGGCAUCCCACCCAUGUUGUUUGGCGGCAUUCCACCCUGGUUACGUGGAGGCAUCCCACCAUAGUUGUGUGGGGGCAUUCCACCUUGGUUGUGUGGGGGCAUUCCGCCAAAGUUGGUCGGUGGGGGCAUGUUGCCUUGAGGCGAAGGAUUCUGCAUCCCUUGGUUUGGCAUGUCCCUGGCUUGGAAAUUUCUAUUCUGCAUAUUCUCCCUCCUCCCGUCAAAGUUCCUUGAUCUGCCGAAAUUACGGCGGCGUGGAUCAUUAUUACGCCUGUUCCUCUCAUUAGCUCUAGCAUUAUUUCUCACCCAUUCUUCAUGGUACUUGGGGUCAUAAGGAACUGCUUGCCCAUUAAUAAAAGGUUCACCUGACAUAUGCGAAAAAAAAAAAAAAAAAAAAAAGUACAUUCCAUAAGAGAUUGAAUGAAAAAGAGACGCGAAUUUCACGAUGGGAUAUACCAAAUUCCAUUCGAUUUGAGACUAUGAUAUAUGGCUUCUAAUGAACAGUAAAUCCAAAAAAGUAAAAUAGAAUAAAGAUAUGUCUUGAUUAAGCAGCUGCAGUGCAUAAGAAGAUGAUAAUAAUUACCUACAGUAACCAAAGGAAUGACAUGGAGCGAUUACCUAUCACAAGACUAACUAGGCCUCAUGCCGUUACAUAAACUCAUGACUCGUUCAUAUGGUAACCAUGAAGGUGAAUCCUAACUGAACUUUUUCUCUUUCUAAACAUGUUUUAAUUAAGCAAACCUUUUAAAGAGCAAUAUCUAUCCAAAUCAGUCAAGAACAAAACCGAAGCAUCACAAUUGCCUCAUCAUGAGGUCAACAAGCAGCGAAAUCAAAACUUUAGCGGCAGUUUUCAUAAAUAAAAGGAUGUAAUCUACAGGAUGCAAAAGCCACCGCAUAAUUAGAAGAUCAAGCUUCCAUACCCCCAUAAUCCUUAUUCUUAACAUCCAGGUAUGAAUCAGGAAGAACCCAUCGAACUCUGGGCAGUUCUGUGUAACAAAACAGAACUCAUUAGCACCACUUCCCAAAAAGAGAAACAAAAGAAAACCAAAGAAGAAGAUUUACCCUUAAGUUUGUAAGAAAGCUCUUCAGAUACAAGGGCUCCAAAUGCGAAGUAGUGCCUUGUUGAAACUGAGUAGAUCUUCAUUCUGGCUUCUCCUUCACUGUAAUAGCAAGUUCAAAAUCAUGGUUAGACAAAAUAAAAGGGACAGCAAUAAAUAAAGAUGAUCGAUGACAACAGGCAAGUACUAUAACUUCGAGAAACAUUAGAAAAAAAAAAUUGAGACACCAGCCAAACUUUUGCUUCUAUAUCCGCCAAGAUAUUAUUCAUAAGCAUCCUCAUAGUUACUUUAAUACUAGCGAUGAUAUUGUACUGAAGACCAAUACCAAGAAGUGCUCACUUCACAUGAAAGGGAAAUAUGAGCAUAUGGCAAAAUGAAAGAAAAAAGUAAUAACCCCGAUCAUCCCUACAUGUCAAAACCAAUUCUAGAUCAAAGCACAGCAUCAAUCUUGCCACAUAAAGUGGCAAUAAAGAAUCGCCUUUGAGAUCAAACACUUGAUAGAGACAGCAUAAUAAUCACCGCAAAAGAAAGAUUACGAUCUGAUUGAGAGUUUACUUAAACCACAGCCGAGAGACCAAAAAAUUAAUAAAUUAUUCAUUAUUCUUGGCCGGAACCAAAAAAUAUAUAUAUAUCCACAGCAAGCCUUUGCGUCAUCGUAUGUUUAUGAGAAGACCACAAACUCAAUCCACUGACCUGCCUACAACCUGCGCGAGCGUCUUAAUAUAACUAUGGAUGAUCUCAUCCCUAGGAGGAUCGCCCUCGGGCUUCUCCAUCACCACGAGCCAGUGCUCGAAGUCGCAACCGUCGAGAAGUAUCGUCUCCUUCGGGGGACGGUUUGACCAGUUGGGGUUCGGAUCGUUGAGCGAAGACGAGGUCGACCUCGUCCGGAAGGAGCGGGCGGACGGGGCGGCAGCAACCGCCGCGGACGCCGAGGAGAGGGGGCGGAGGCGGUGGCGGAGGAGGGAGGAGAGAGGGGAGCGAGGCGCGGAGGCGGCGGGAGCGGAGGAGGAGGAGAGGGAGCGGGAGAGGAGGGAGGCGAGGGAUUGCCGAGGCUUGGAGGAGAGCAGGAUGGAACGGGUGAAGAGCUGAGUCGCCAUGGUAGGGGUUUUGGAUGCACUCUAAAACCCUGAAGAAGAUGACUGAUAUAUAUAAACUCCGUUCGUAGGUUCUACGGUAAAUAAUUUAUAAAGAAACGUUUUUCAAAUUUUUUGGGAUUCGUUUUUUAUUUAGAAAAAAUAUUUACAAUGAAAAAAAAAUCUUUUAAAUCAAGGAAAAAUAUUUUCACUGAUCUCCUCCCCAUGCCUAGGAACCCUCACUUCCUACUCCCCCUCCUUUUUUCCUUUCAAGUUCAUAUCAUUUUUCAGCCUCAAGCUUCGCCACAUCAUACGUAAUACAAUUGAAUUGUCAAAACAAAAAGCCUUGAGCUUAACGCUCAUGCUUGUCGAUCUAGCAAGUGGUGACUGGUGAGCUUGAGCUCACCAAUGGUGGGCAAGCCUCAACGCUAGCCUGUGGCUAGUCGUCGGCCAUUGCCAUGCCGCCCAAGAAGAAGAAGAGGAAAACAAAAAAAAUGAAAAAUGAAAAAAAAAAAUGUAAUACUUUAAUUAUUGAUUUUAAAAAAAUGAAAAUUCGAUUUUAAAAAAUAAAAUAAAUGAAAAAGAGUGUAUGGAGAAAAAGAUUUUCCUUAUCCAAUAGCGAGAAAACACCACAUUUUUCGCAGAAUAAAUAGGUCCGAAAAUCACAAGAUCUCUUCGAGAGAUUUUAUGUCGAGGGAUCCCUAGAUAGCCCCAGGUUAUGAGGUAUUCAAAAUUACAUGGGCUGCACUUUACCUUAAUGAUAAUCCAUGGAUCAUAUGCACAAUCAUUUGACAGUUAGAUUAUGAGGUAUUCUCAUGACGAGGCUGAAAAGAUCGGAGAUUUUAAUCGAACAAUUCUGUCACGGAUCGAGUUUACACAAGUAUAUGCUCCUAUUACAUUUAAGAAAACAUUUUACAGGCCACGGCACAUAUACACCGCCUCACCAUAACAGAAGCCUUACGUAUGUACCAAGUUUCCACCUUAUUGUCUGGAAGACAAAAACAUAUUCAGCCCCUUUUGUUCGCUUCAAAGCUGGAACAGCACAUAAGCGUGCAACUCUUCUUCUCCAGCGCCGAGUUCUCUCCUCGUUCGUCCUCUUGGACCACCGAACCCAGCUCCACAUUGGAGAAGCAAAGCCAGAGGCAGCUCCGGCGCUUGCUCCUCAUCUUCUUUAUUAUCGACAUCUGAGCAUCUUUCGCGGCGAGCUCAUAGCCUUUUUGGCCGAUCCCCAUUGGAUAUGUGCUUUCUAGCGUGAGCAAGUGUGAUGGAUCGAGAGCAGCGCUUAUCUACGAUCUAUGUCGCGCAGAUGAGAAGGGAGAGUUGACCAAGGAAAACUCGUUUACCGCUCAAGAACUUCUCAUGUCACGGUUGAAGUUAAUAUCUGAAUAGCCAAGGCUGCAGCAAUCCUUUGUGCUUCAUGCCGGCGUUGCCCGUCCGGAAGGCAAAGAAUGUCAUUGCACUGGCCGAUCCGCAGUGAUUGGGUUAUUGUCAAUUGAGUUUUGCAGUUAUUGCCAUGUAGUCAAUAGAUAUUAUAAGGUCAUCCUAAGCCGAGAAAAUUAACUAUUAAUCGAUGCAUAUAAUCGCAUUGUGAAUGGUGAUUUCUUGUAAGGCACAGUGCAAUUCCCAAUCGGUAAAGGCACCCUCAUAUAGUUGGUGAAGUCAAGGAAGAAAAUUGAGACCACUAACUAAAAUUUGGCCAUACAAUGAAGGACAUGCUUCGGCUCUCUCAUCUCCUCAAGGCCCUACAUACACUGCCCUCCUUCUAGGUAAAUAUAUGCCAUCCUAUCGGAUCAAGAAAAUCUAAAUAUACACAUCAUCCUCUCUGUUCCGUUCUAAGGCCUUGUUAUGUACGUCUUCUGACAAGAAACACACACUUCCUUUGUAUGCAAGAGCAAGAGAAUUGGAAUAUUUGAGAACCACACAGAGGAAAACUGAUAGCUUAACAAAAAAAUACAACAGUAUCAACGGCUGUGUCUCCCACAAAACGAAUACAGCCAUUGAAAGUAAAAAGUCACUGAGAAUCCGAGCAAUGAGAAGAAGUUACAUAGAGGAUUUCAUGAGAUGAAAAGUUAUACUCAAUUGCAAAAGUGCAAUGUAGACACCUCCUGACCAUAGCCAUCUCUUAGUUUCUCGAUGCUACCUCGUUGAUUACACCAUUCUGCAAUGUCCCUAGCAUUGAGUAGGCAGCGAUAUUAGACUCAUGCACCAAUCCAGACAAAAUAGAUGCAACUGGAAAUUUAAGAGCAGCAAAUAAAGCAUACAUCAGGCAGGUCCAUUCAUUUUAGCUAUACAUCAAAUCCCAUGACGUUCCACUCUAGACCAACAUUCUACACCUAAUAAGUAUUUCCAUCCCUGCUAGGAGUGUAGUUCUCGCUCUGAUAGUUUGGCAUAUUCCCAGCAUCUCUUUGAGGCGCAGUAUU
rnacentral:lncRNA from 1 species